rfam:Oryza sativa Japonica Group DNA, chromosome 1, cultivar: Nipponbare, complete sequence.
AACUGUCCGUCUUAUAUAAUUUUUUUUAUAAUUAGUAUUUUCAUUGUUGUUAGAUGGUAAAACAUGAUUAAUACUUUAUACGUGACUUAUCAUUUUAAUUUUUUCAUAAUUUUUUUAAAUAAGACGAACGGUU